UGGUAAAGGCUGCCUCAAUGCUCACUGGA
rnacentral:piRNA from 1 species